UAAUAAGUGUUUUAUGGCACUUUUUAAAUCCAUAUCCACCUUGUGUGGCAAUGUCAGUCGAUCUUCUUCAUGGAGAUCGACCAAACAUCAACCUAUUUUUUUUAACUCUUUGACUCUGAAAAAUAUUAUGAAUAAACAAUUCAAAUA
rnacentral:misc_RNA from 1 species